rnacentral:lncRNA from 1 species
CUGUAACGUAACAAAAUGUGGAAAAAGUCAAGGGGUCUGAAUACUUUCCGAAGGCACUGUAUAUCAGUAUAUUGGCAAAGUAAGAAAUACUGGAGAGAGAGCAUAUAGAUAUCCAAAAUAUUCUUUGUGACUUUCUUUUUUCCAACGCAGUACAGAAUGUUAAAGAAGCAGCGCUCAGCAGGACUUGUGAGUUACAUAGUCCUGUGUCCCACAGUGGUACAUGGAAGUGGAACCGAUGAACUGUCACAAGCAUCCUCCCAGACUGCACUCCUAUUCUACUUCCUCUUAUUCUCAUCGCUGCCACUUCUUCUUGUUCUUCUUGUUACUGUUGCCUUUUCCAACAGUCUGAAUAGGGAGACAGUAGAUGUGCAUAGGGAUGUUCUUGUAAUAGCUGGUUACAACUGGCCUGGCAAAACAUAGAGAGUCAGCAUGGUAUAAAUACAGAGACACAGCAUAUGUAGAAGGCUGUCUACCAGCUCCUCCUCGAUACGCGCCAGCUGCACAGCAGAGAGCCCAGGGAGACUCAUUUUACUAUCGACAUCACCGCUUUCGUUAACUACAGUGAGUUAUAGCUAUGGUUCUUCUGUAUGUUGACUGCAAGGGGAUUCUGCAUAGAUAAAUAGACCAAGACGGCUUUGCCAAAAGGAUACAUUACAAACUGAAUGGACUUCUAGCAUUCAGAAGCACGAUCCUCCUCCUGAUCUCAGGACAAAAACGUGUCAACCAACAUGUAUCCCACUCAAACACACAGAAGAGAAAACCCUCGCUGCUCGCUCACACAAAAAGCCAUGUGUUCGAGCUUGAGGACGACAUAUCGACACCACAAAGGACUCAUUCUCCAUAUCCAGUGGGCUGUGGUCCAGACACCAUUUCAGACAGAACAUCUUAAUGGGAUUCUGGCUCGGCCUUGAGUUUCCAAUCAGCUUCAUUCUCACAUAACAACCCUCCAACUGGGCAACAACAUGGUGGUCAUUUCAGCCAGCACAAAGCCCAGAGGCUUUAUGACUGCAGUUGUGAAUGAACAGAGACAAACUCUCUGAAACCAGAUGUUAUGAUCCUCAUCUGUUGAGGUUAAACUAACAUAAAAAUACUGUAUGUUGGGUACAUCAUAUUCAAUUCCAUUUGUAAAGGAUUCCCCACCACGGUCCAAUGAGGCAGAUGGAAUCUAAUGAUGUAUUUUAGUGGAUUUAUUUCCCUCUUCUCUCUGUCUCCAUCAGCCAGAUAACAACCCUGUAAGAUGGCUGAGAUAAGACAUGAUGAUGACAGUCAGUACAGCCUCUAUAGCGUUAUCUCCUCUCUCAGUCAGUACAGCCUCUAUAGCGUUAUCUCCUCUCACAGUCAGUACAGCCUCUAUAGCGUUAUCUCCUCUCACAGUCAGUACAGCCUCUAUAGCGUUAUCCCCUCUCACAGUCAGUACAGCCUCUAUAGCGUUAUCCCCUCACAGUCAGUACAGCCUCUAUAGUGUUAUCUCCUCUCACAGUCAGUACAGCCUCUAUAGCGUUAUCCCCUCACAGUCAGUACAGCCUCUAUAGCGUUAUCUCCUCUCACAGUCAGUACAGCCUCUAUAGUGUUAUCUCCUCUCACAGUCAGUACAGCCUCUAUAGCAUUAUCCCCUCUCACAGUCAGUACAGACUCUAUAGUGUUAUCUCCUCUCACAGUCAGUACAGCCUCUAUAGUGUUAUCUCCUCUCACAGUCACACUCUGCUGUGAUCUGAAGGCUGGGAAGAUGUCAUCACCGCUGCAAGGCGACUAACCGACUGCUGAUCCCAUAUCUCUCUCUCUCACACACACACACACACACACACACACACACACACACACACACACACACACACACACACAGCUGGCCCCAUCUCAUCUCACACAUCAGUCAACUGUGUGGUAUUCAAUUUGAGUGUCUCUCUCUCUCCACCCACCCACCCGGGGGCAAGCAGCUUCUGAGGUAGACUCCAUGACUACCUUUCCCACAAGGCCUAGAGGCAAAAUGGAAGGCGUUGUAGUUCCUACCACAUGUACUGUACCUGCUCAAGUAGACGCUUGUUGUCCUCCACUUUCCUCUGGUGCUCCUGGAGGCUGAGCUCCUGGAGGCUGAGCUCCUCCUGGAGGCUGAGCAUGGCUGGGUCUCCC